AACGAACGCUGGCGGCAUGCCUAACACAUGCAAGUCGAACGAGACCUUCGUGUCUUGGGGCGCACGGGUGCGUACGGCGUGGGAAGUUGCACGUGGGUUCGGAAUAACUCCCUGUAAGGGGUCCUAAUACCGGAUAAUGUCUUCGGACAUAAGAUUUAUUGCCUUUGGAUGGGCGCGGGUUGGUUUAGCCAGUUGGUAGGGUAAUAGCCUAGCAAGGCGACGUUCCAUAGCUGGUCUGAGAGGAUGAUCAGCCACGAUGGGACUGAGGCACGGCCCAGACUCCUACGCAGGGGAGCAGUGGGGAAUAUUAGACGAUGGGGCAAAGCGUAAUACAGCAGUGCCGCGUGAGUGAUGAAGGCCUUAGGGUUGUGAUGCUCUUUGACCCGAGAUGAUAAUGACAGUAACGGGAGAAGAAGCUCCGGCUAACUCCGUG
rnacentral:rRNA from 1 species